UUGAUAUACCUUAGUGAAAACUCUACACAUUCAGUCUGAUUCAAGUGUUCUGUAGGAGAACACAUAAGAAAAACAGUAAAUUCAAAAUUAAAAAAAAAAAUCCUUUGGCAUUCAAACAUUUCGGUUUUAGAUUAAGUGCAAAAAGUGGUUUUUAUACUUUUAUAAAAAAAAAAAACAAGUCAAAAAUUGAGAUCAGAUUUGUUUAUCCCAUAUAAAUCAAGUAAUUUAAACAAAAACAAACAACCGCAUGCACGCACGCACGGUCCGGAGCGGUCCACAAAGAAAGCAGAUUAGAUUGAGUUGAGCAAAUGAAAACCAGAGAACUAC